CGUGGCGUGGAGUUGCGAGCCGGCGCCGGCUGGGCCCGCGGGCUCGCCGCAGAGGUGCGGGGGCGUUCGCAGCCCCUCGGUCUCUGCCCUCGGGGCCCUUGCGGGCGGGCUCGGCUAGAACCUGGGGCGCGUUCGCGAACGGGACCCCGGCAUCCCGCGAACUCGGUGGUUUGUAGACGCGCCAGUGCCCCAGGCGCCCGUGGACCGGUUCGCCCCGGGGCAGCCCCUCGAGAGGAACCGGGAAAGAAGGGUCGGGCGAGGCGGCGGCGGGACCCGGGAGCCCGCGCCGGAGGGCCCCGCGGCGCGCUCCUUGGGGACCCGCGGUUGAGGGGGCGUCCGCACGGUGGUAGGGUGGAGAGCGCCUUUCCCACCUGCUCCACCCUGGCGCAGCCUCGGUGUUCGCCCGUGGAAAUCCACUGGUUUCCAGCGAAGGGCGGGGGGCGCCGGGACCCCUGCCCCCGCCUGGUAGCGCUGUGCGUGCGAGGGCUUUCUGUGCACAGGGUCGUUUUCAUGCACCUUCCGUCUCGGCCCCCGCGCCCUUUUUGGCUUCUGAUGGCGUCUGAUGCAGUGGAGCUGAGAUUUUAAUGUCUUAAUUUAGUGGCACGGCCGUUGUGCCGUCGAGCGGAGAAGGGUGGCCGCGGGUCCACGUGUGCGUUAUUUAUUUGCAAAUGCUUGUCCAGAUGCAGUUCCUAACAACGGGUAACGGCUUCCUUGUGGUUACACUAACGACCCAGCCACCUGGGCGUACGCGGGAAGGUCGAAGAAAGCAAACGGGACCCCAGUGCAGUGCGCUGCCAGCGCUGUGUUAGCGGAUUGCUCCAGGUAGACAGCUCCUGGUCUGUGCUCGCGGAUCGCCUGACGCUACACAAACUCUUCAGAUGCUUACCUCCAGUAUUGGGGCAGCAUGGCCCAGAUUAGAAUAAAACUAAAAGACGUGUAAUUCCUGGUUUUUUGUUAUGUGAUGAACAAAGUUCAUGUUGGUCCAAGAUAAACUUUUGUUCUCUUUCCUGAUUGUUUUGAUUUAGUUGGGCCUGUUAGUGCUUUUUUACAUUUUAUUUAGUAGAAUGCCAUCCGCCUUCGCCUGGGUCACUCCCCGCAGGCCUGCAACAGCUGGGGGCUGGGCCUGAGAGAAGCCAGCGUCCCGGAACUCAAUCCAGGCUUCCCACGGGGGUGGCAGGAACCCAGCGACAGGAAGGAAGCGUUGCCCGCUGUCUCCGGGGUGUGCGUUAGCGGGAAACAGCAGAGCUGGGACUCAGGCCCCCGGCACUCUGAUGGGGGAGGCCAGCAUCCUAACCAGAUGCCAAACUGUGCUGCUGGGCGUGUUCUUAGAAACCAAGAAGCACCGUGCUCAGCUCGGCGGGCAGCAGUCAAAGAAAAAAGGACUAAGUGCAGAAGAAAAGAGAACCCGCAUGAUGGAAAUAUUUUUCGAGACGAAAGAUGUGUUUCAACUAAAAGACAUGGAGAAGAUUGCUCCCAAAGAAAAAGGCAUUACUGCCAUGUCAGUCAAAGACGUCCUCCAGAGUUUAGUUGAUGAUGGGAUGGUUGACUGUGAGAGGAUUGGAACAUCGAAUUACUACUGGGCUUUUCCUAGUAAAGCUCUUCACGUAAGGAAACGCAAGGUGGAGGUUCUGGAAUCUCAGUUGUCUGAGGGAAACCAAAAGUAUGCAAACCUACAGAAAAAUAUUGAGAAAGCUAAAAUUGGCCGACAUGAGACGGAAGAACGAGCCAUGAUAGCAAAAGAGCUUUCUUCACUGCGGGAAGAAAGGGACCAACUAAAAGCAGAAGUGGAGAAAUACAAGGAAUGUGACCCACAAGUUGUGGAAGAAAUACACCUACCCUACAAAAAAUACUAACGGGAGCCCUUCAGACUGAAGUGAAAGGACACUAGACCAUUGCUUGUUCAGCAUGAAGAAAUACAUCACAAUGAUAAAGAUUACUACAUAGCUACCAUGUGAACCACCAUUCCAUCCCUGGAUACAUACCCUGGAGACCCGAAAAUGCGUCCACGCAGAAAUUAAUAAUUACUCAUAAUAACAGAAACAACCCAAAUGUCCAUCAACUGGUGAAUGGAUGUCAAGCAAAUAAAAUAGCCAAAGAAGCUGCUAACAGAUGGACUGAUAACAUAUUUGCAAUAAAAUCUUGGGCCAAAAGAAAAUUUGGAUUGGAAGAAAAUAAAAUUGAUAAAAA